GGCACGGUGGCAUAGUGGUUAGCACUGUUGCCUCACAGCAAGAAGGUCGUGGGUUCGAUUCUGGCCUAGGGCCU